UGUCAACAAUGAAAAAGACUCUCAAAUGUGUGAGGAGGUCUCCAUCAGUGAAGCUAUUCAAGAAGAGAGUAGAUGUCAACUGUUGAAAGUUAGAAGAACUACGUGUGAAGCCAGAGUUCUUCAGGCAAGACCAAGCCAAGGUAGAUGUGUCUAGAAGAUCAUCCACAUAGACUCCAAGGAUAAGCCAUCUGCCAGGAAUGAAAGUGAAAACAAAGGACUUUGUUAAAAUGUGUCAGGCACUGUCAACUGCUGAUAACAAAAUCUUUGAUCAUCCUUAUUCUGGUUCUCAUUGUAACCAAAUGGCCACUAACAACUAUUUAGAACCACACAGCCAU